rnacentral:lncRNA from 1 species
GCUUAAGAUAGCAACCCCAGCUUAUCACUGAUAAGCCUCCAGAUUAACUGGAAAACUGCAGAAAUCUGACCCCAGUCGUAAACUUUUUCAUGUAAAAUCAUCAAAUGAUAAUCAAUCAAAACAAGAUAUACAUGUUUAAAAAGCUAAUAAAAUUAUCUACAAUUUGCAUAUUUUAUUUGUUAUUUUAUUGCCAUAUUAUCGGAUUUAUGAUCUUGUUAUCCAACAGAUCACGGUAAUUUACACCCGAUCUGAGAUAAACAGUAAACAUGCAGCGUUCGCGUGACACCAUGUGUCUUUGUUUCAAUAUGCAACUGGUUUAAUAGCUAUGAAUAUUAAUGAGUUUAAUUUAUCCAAUCAGAAAAAAGGUUUAUGAAUACAUUACAACUUGAUGCAUAUUCGUACGAUACUUAUACGCAAAGAUAUAGUCCCCCAAAGUUGACCGUUUUUUUCUCAGAAAAUACGAAUUUUUCAGACAUGCACCAUGCACCAAUGCAAAAUAUACAUUCUGAAGUUUAAUUUGGUACCAAAAUCAUUUUUCGGAAACGCCAUUUACCCGGUCGCAUUUAUUUCUGAAAAUUGCAAUUUUCGGAAAAUCCAAAGGUCACGCACGUUUCAGGCCGACCGCCAUUUUGAAAUUUAUGAUAACACAACACCGAUACAAAAUAUCGUUAAAAAUCAAUAAAUCUGUUCAUUAAAAAAACAGGAAAACGAUUAAAAAUGAAAUGAAUGUUAAAUCAUAACAUUUGGUCAGCUAUGACAGAGAUAUACCUAGGCCCAUUUUGUGAUUGUGAUGCACACAGUACUAUCACAAAGUUAUAGACUGGACGUAUCAAGAAAACAAUCAAACCAUUAUUAAACAGCAUUAUGAUUGAAAUAAACCAUUUUGUCAAGACACCGGGGUUCAAAUAAAGUGAUUUGUUUAAUGUCUUUGUGCAUUCAAAUCAGUGUCAAUAAGACUGACAACUGGUACCCUGGCUUUGGAGAAAGUUGUGAAUGAUUCUACAGCGGUUGUCAAGUUCAUGACUCACUGUUGUAAGCUGGCCACUGAGAGAAGAUAAGCAAGUUAUAAACAUUUAGUUCGUGAUUGGCCAGAAAUUGGUGCCAGACUGUAUAAAUGCGGUUAGAUGAUGCCAUCAUGGUGAACAUAAGCACUUACAUACGGUAUUCAGCCAGUUCAGCAGUGACUUUUUCCGUUAACGUUAACCACACUACCAGUAGAAGUUGAAUUCAAAACUGACAUUUUUCAUUUCACUUUUAAUUAGUUCAAUGACACUCUUGGGUCUAGUAAAUAUGUAUCAUAGUUUUUAUGAGCAACUUGAAAUGAAUAAUUGCAGGUGGAAAUAAUUCUUUAUCAAGAGUAAAACUAUUUAAAUUAAUGGUAGAUAAUUUUAGCAAGUCGUAGCAGUCUAAUAGUGAAAAAAUAUUCAACAGAAAAAUAUGAAAUCAAUAUUAUUUGAAAAUAUUAUAUUUUAUUUAUAAACUUGUUCUAUGUAUAAUAAAUGUAUCUACACUGUCUUGUUCUGUAGUAAUAUUUAAAUAAAUCUGUUAAAGUGAUCAUGAAAAUGUAUGUGUAAGUGACAACUGAAAUUAUUUGAAAAUAAUGUAAAAACUUGAAAAAUAAAUUGCAUCAACCUGA